rnacentral:lncRNA from 1 species
CGCAAAGGCAUAGUGCAGGUUCAGUAGCAUAGCCUGUGUGGCUUGUGGUUCAUGAAUCAGACUGCCUAAUCCCGGGAACCACAAGGGACAUCUGUAAAUCCAUUGGCCAGUUCCUGAGUCCACAGAUUUACAACUUGAGGUGGCCUGCACCAGACCCACGGGGCAAUAACAGUCUUCCAUUGAAUUCUUUAGCAGUUUCUACAAUUGCAUAAGUUAACAAGAUCAACCUUGCUGGGAAAUGAACAAGCGACCAGGACUGCGUGCAAUUCUACUUGGAGAUCUUCAUAACACCUUAAGGGAAAAAUCCUUUUUGAAAGAAAAACAAGUCUGGGUGGUGCUUGAAAAUUCAGAAGGCAGCUAGAAACUCUGCCAAUUACAACUGGUGAUUGCUGAGUUCUGGAGACAGACUGGGCUUCUGCUUUCUUUUGGUGGAGGUGUCUGCUUGCAGAAAAUUUAUGUUCUGGGAUUUACAACUUCAGGGAGACAAAGGAAACUCCAGCUCAUCUCCCACAUCAUUGAUUGAGAGGACCAUUUUCUGACUGUCUGCACACGUUUCCUAUACUACCCUUUAAUGCAACAAUGGGAUGAAGAGAUGAAGACUUCUAGCAGGCUACCUCAGAAAGGUUGCUGACCAAAGGCUGUAUGGACCAAAAAGUCAUAACACCACCCUGGAUGAAAGGACAUUUACCUAAGGAAUUACCCGCUCUCAAUUCUUCCCAGGUGCAUGUAGUAUAGAUUAAAUAAGGUGGUUGUAUGGCAACAGAGACAUUAUUAGAAACAUUCUUCUUGAAGUUUGACAACAAAGCAGUAGAUGUGUAUCUACUACAGAGUUGUUAGUGAAAAAAGGGAUGGGCAUUUGAAUUAUUUCCAGUUUUUGGCUAUUAUGAAAAAAACUGCUAUGAACAUUCAUACACAAGUGUGUGUGUGGACCCAUGUUUUCACUGAUCAAGGCCUAAAUACCUACGGUAAGUAUACAUUUAACCUUAUAAGAAAAUGCAAAACUAUUUUUCCAAAGUAGUAUCAUUUUACAUUUCUUCUAACAACAUAUGAGAAUGGCAGUUGCUCUACUAAUAUGGUUUGGCUUUGUGUCCCCACC